AACCCGAGGUACGGAUCGCUGUUAUCGACAGCACUUUCCCAGGUAGCCAGAACCUUCAAGGCUACGUUACUUCGAUGAUGGUUCUCCCCAAGUGCGAUUAGCGUUCGGUGGCUCGCACGGUGACCGUUGCUACGGUGAUGAACGC
rnacentral:ncRNA from 1 species